GGUGAGAUGGCCGAGCGGUCCAAGGCGCCAGACUAAGGUCCGUCGCAAAAGACAGUUCUUCAUCUGGUCUCUUCGGGGGCGGGAGUUCGAAUCUCCCUCUCAUCA